rnacentral:rRNA from 1 species
GACGAACGCUGGCGGCGUGCUUAACACAUGCAAGUCGAACGGGAGUAUUGAAGAAGCUUGCUUUAGAGAUACUUUAGUGGCGGACGGGUGAGAACGCGUGAGGAGCUGUCCAAUGCAGGGGGACAACAGUUGGAAACGACUGCUAAUACCCCAUAAGCCGAGAGGUAAAAGGAUUUAUCCGGCAUGGGAGGUACUCGCGUCCUAUCAGCUAGUAGGUGAGGUAACGGCUCACCUAGGCGAAGACGGGUAGCCGGCCUGAGAGGGCGAACGGCCACACUGGAACUGAGAUACGGUCCAGACUCCUACGGGAGGCAGCAGUGGGGAAUAUUGGGCAAUGGGGGGAACCCUGACCCAGCGACGCCGCGUGGGUGAAGAAAUCCUUCGGGAUGUAAAGCCCUGUUGUAUGGGAAGAGCGGAAGACGGUACCAUACGAGGAAGCCCCGGCAAACUACGUGCCAGCAGCCGCGGUAA